rnacentral:lncRNA from 1 species
CGUUAGUAAGGCCAGCGCUGCUAAAGAUGAAGCUGAUCCCUUCGUCUUUGAAUCCUCUGCCCUGAAACUGAUGGCAUAUAUCCCCACCAGUUGCUCUUUAGUCUCCCCUGCCACCAGCCUCUAGAUCGGCUAUACAGGACCCUGAAUCCUGCCGUCACCCCCUCAUCAUCACCUGCCCUCACCUCGAAAUGGAAAGUUGAACAGUGGUGAGGACUCGGACCAUUCCCAGGGCCCACUGAGCCAACUUUCUGAAAGCCUAAGAACUGGCAAAGGGCAGCC